GACGAACGCUGGCGGCGUGCUUAACACAUGCAAGUCGAGCGGUAAGGCCCUUUCGGGGGUACACGAGCGGCGAACGGGUGAGUAACACGUGGGUGACCUGCCUUCAGCUCUGGGAUAAGCCUGGGAAACUGGGUCUAAUACUGGAUAUUACUCUGCGGUGCAUGCCGUGGGGUGGAAAGCCUUGUGCGGCUGGGGAUGGGCCCGCGGCCUAUCAGCUUGUUGGUGGGGUGAUGGCCUACCAAGGCGACGACGGGUAGCCGGCCUGAGAGGGCGACCGGCCACACUGGGACUGAGACACGGCCCAGACUCCUACGGGAGGCAGCAGUGGGGAAUCUUGCGCAAUGGGCGAAAGCCUGACGCAGCGACGCCGCGUGAGGGAUGACGGCCUCGGUGUAAC
rnacentral:rRNA from 1 species